GCUCCAGUGGCCUAGUGGUUAGAGCGUCCGCCUUGGAUGAGGGAGGUCGUGGGUAUGAACCCCGGCCGAGUCA